rnacentral:rRNA from 1 species
AUGUUUGAGCCCUACCAAAUUACAAGCAACCGUGGCAUCGGCUCGAUUCAAAAGAGAUGGUUGUUCAUCCAACAAGAGUGCAAUAAGUAUUGUGCCGCAUUUGAGAGCGUUGAAGCACGGCCCGUGAGUGGUCUCGGCGUUGGGGACAUGGCAUUUCAAUCUUUGGAGGCAUUCAAGGCCCGACACAAUGACAAGCCAUUCACUCUUACGCAUUGUUGGACGAUCAUCAACAAUUGCCCUAAGUUCAAGGACCAAUACCGUGAACUACAAAGGAAGAGAGGCAAGAAGACGGCCAAGUUCGCCGGAGGUGGAGAUGGCGAGGCGUUGAAGAGGCCGAGGGGCAAGACCAACUCCAAGGUUGACGACAUACGUGAUGCCUCAUCCAUGGCCUUGCAUGAGACUUUGCAUGGCAUGAUUUCCCAAAAGGAUGUGAGGGAUGAGAAGAAGCAGCAAAGCAAGGACGAGCAAACGAAGCAAUACCUAGACCUUCAAAGACAGAAGCUUGAGAUGGAGGAGGCGGCCAAGCGGAGGAAGAUCGACAUGGAGGAGGCGGCCCGGCAAAGGCAACUCGACAUGGAGGAGGCGGCCCAGCAAAGGCAGCUCGACAUCGAGGCCGACAACGUCAAGGCCAGGCAGAGGCAGCUCGACAUCGAGGCCACCAAUGCCGCCACAAAAGCGAAGGAGGUGGCCCUUGCGAUCAUGAGCGUGGACUUGUUGAAGAUGAGCGACAAGACGAGGGCCUGGUUCGAGGCCAGGUAG